CUUAGAGGAAGUAAAAGUCGUAACAAGGUCUCCGUUGGUGAACCAGCGGAGGGAUCAUUACCGAGUUUACAACUCCCAAACCCCUGUGAACAUACCUUAAUGUUGCCUCGGCGGAUCAGCCCGCGCCCCGUAAAACGGGACGGCCCGCCAGAGGACCCAAACUCUAAUGUUUCUUAUUGUAACUUCUGAGUAAAACAAACAAAUAAAUCAAAACUUUCAACAACGGAUCUCUUGGUUCUGGCAUCGAUGAAGAACGCAGCAAAAUGCGAUAAGUAAUGUGAAUUGCAGAAUUCAGUGAAUCAUCGAAUCUUUGAACGCACAUUGCGCCCGCUGGUAUUCCGGCGGGCAUGCCUGUUCGAGCGUCAUUUCAACCCUCAAGCCCCCGGGUUUGGUGUUGGGGAUCGGCUCUGCCCUUCUGGGCGGUGCCGCCCCCGAAAUACAUUGGCGGUCUCGCUGCAGCCUCCAUUGCGUAGUAGCUAACACCUCGCAACUGGAACGCGGCGCGGCCAUGCCGUAAAACCCCAACUUCUGAAUGUUGACCUCGGAUCAGGUAGGAGUACCCGCUGAACUAGCAUAUCAAUAAG
rnacentral:rRNA from 1 species